AACGCAUAUUGCGCUCGAGGCUUCGGCCAAGAGCAUGUCUGCCUCAGCGUCGCUUUAAUUCCUCACAAUCCAAUCCUCUGAUUGGGAAUGUGGAACUGGCUUUCUCAGUUGGCUCUUAGCGAGUCGGCUGGGUCUGCUGAAGAGCAGAGGUUGAUGCAUGGACCCGUCAUGGGCCUCAGCUGGGUAGGCAAUUUCAUUGCUCAAUGCUUUAGCUGUUGGCUUGGGACUGUGCUUGUUGGCCAGAACCAGGAAAAAUUUACUCUUCAAACUUCGACCUGAGCUCAGGCAAGAACACCCGCUGAACUUAA
rnacentral:misc_RNA from 1 species